rnacentral:rRNA from 1 species
GAUGAACGCUGGCGGCGUGCCUAAUACAUGCAAGUCGAGCGAAUGGAUUAAGAGCUUGCUCUUAUGAAGUUAGCGGCGGACGGGUGAGUAACACGUGGGUAACCUGCCCAUAAGACUGGGAUAACCCCGGGAAACCGGGGCUAAUACCGGAUAACAUUUUGAACCGCAUGGUUCGAAAUUGAAAGGCCGCUUCGGAUGUCACUUAUGGAUGGACCCGCGUCGCAUUAGCUAGUUGGGGAGGUAACGGCUCACCAAGGCAACGAUGCGUAGCCGACCUGAGAGGGUGAUCGGCCACACUGGGACUGAGACACGGCCCAGACUCCUAAGGGAGGCAGCAGUAGGGAAUCUUCCGCAAUGGACGAAAGUCUGACGGAGCAACGCCGCGUGAGUGAUGAAGGCUUUCGGGUCGUAAAACUCUGUUGUUAGGGAAGAACAAGUGCUAGUUGAAUAAGCUGGCACCUUGACGGUACCUAACCAGAAAGCCACGGCUAACUACGUGCCAGCAGCCGCGGUAA